rnacentral:tRNA from 1 species
GAUUCAGUGGUCCAAUGAUAAAGCGCUUGUCGCGGAUCCAGAUGAUCCUGGGUUCGAUCCCCAGCAGGGUCG